UGUUCCUUUCUGUGGAUUCAAUUUGUAGGAAAUGACCACUAUAAAUCCCAAUGGAGCAAAGGAAUUACAUCUGUGUUAUUACAGGGACUGUGAAUUGCCUGCACAGAACAACAGAGCUGUGACAAAUACUUAUUUGCAUUACUCCCUCAUUUACUCAUAUGCACCUGUGGAGCCUGGAACAGGCUUAGCAAAGGCCUUUCUGCUGGCAGACUAUGUGCAGUUCUCCAUCUUUCAAACACAUUGAGUUAAGAAUCUGAGAAAAAGAUUGUUUAAUCUCCUACUUAUCAGUGUGUUCUCCAAUAAAAGAAGUAACAUCUAAGGAAUAAAACCAGAAAUAGUAGGAACUGAAGUAGUUUGUUCAGAAAACCUUUCUGCCAGGCCAGGAUUUCUGUCUACAGAUGUGCUUUUUUUUUCAUUCACAAAUACUGUACACAGUGCAAUGGCUGGAGGGUUUUUUGUUUUGUUUUGUUUUUGUUUUGUUUUGCAACACACAUAGGUGUGAAAUUCAUUCUCAGCUUCUUCUAAAGAUGACACAAAAUUCUGGAUAUUACUUUAGAGCAAUGACUUCACGUUGGGACCAUCUAACUGGGGAAAGCAAGAAGAAAAUUCUUUCCCUAACAUCAAGCUGUAUGUGAGACAUUACUGUGAGAGCAGCACACAGUGGCCAAAAUGUAUUUAGGUCUACACAGAGACCAAGAAACAGAAAUCCACCACUACAAUAUUUAAGAAGUAAAAGCGGUAGCAAGAACUGUGAAAUGUUUGCAGGCAGUGUGGUAACUCCUUAAAGAUAUAUCAGAAAUAUGAGAUACACAGAACAAAUGAAUAUCACUUAAAGACAUACUUCUGGAAAGAUCAAAAGGGUCCAGAAUGCUUAAUAACAACUCGGCAGGUUCAAAAUGUUAUUGCAACAAAUGAAUGCUGAAGGGCAGAUUCAGGAGGAAGCAGAAGGCAGCGUUCUUGCAAAUUACAAUUACUAUUCUACUGAAAUAAAGAACCAGAGACCAAGCAGUGAUCCAUGACCAAUGUUGGCGACUAAAAUUAAACUGAGUUUUGUCUGAGCACCUGAACAGUGGCUCUGUGACCAGCUGACCUGGCAGAAUAGCUCCGCAGUUAAGGCAAUGAAGUUGGAAUUUGGAAAGAAUGAAGGAAAGAAUGAAGUCCACAGCUCACACUUUGGGAAUGUGGAUAGCAAAGACUGAUUAUGAAAGCCAUGCACAUACAUAAUCACAUGGAAACAACAGGGCGCUCAGUCCAGAGCCCAAAGGAUAAAUGUGAGUAUCAGAGGGAGUGUUGCUCUGUACCUACAAAUGACUCAGGGAGACCUUAAGCAUGUCCAUGAAGCAAAUACAAAUAAAUAGAGCUGAUUGAACAGUAUGAAAAGUUUCUACCCACACACCAAUUAUCAGAAGGCUUGCCAGUAAUAAAGAGGAACCAUACAAAAUGAGCUGAUUCUAAUUUGUGCUUUCUACUACAAAUGUAUCCUCCAAUAAAGUUUACUGAAGUAAGACAUAGGGCAUGCAGCAGAACUUCCAGUGCCAGUUCCCAGUUCCACAAAAUCAAUGGCACACUUCUGGCCAGCUGCUUACUGCCCUUUGGCUGCAAUAACAAUUUGCUUUCUGGCAGUGAGGUGCACCAGUAACUUAUUUUCUACACUAGAUAAAUAAAAUAAGGAUAGAAGAGAAAUGCUUCUUCCAAAUGGAUAAGUCCAAAAUAGCAAAUAAGGGUUUUUCUGCAUGUAAGUUCUCCACUUUGUAUGACAUUGUGAAGGUAACCCAUGCUCUACACCUCCUUUGAAACUGUCAGUGUAGCCAUGGGAUACCAUGGAAAUACUGGAGCUGCCAGAUGUCAGUGUUACGGUAAGGUUUGCACCCAUCUGUGCUACCCAGUGAUCAAAUGGCAUACCUGACACCUUUGUGAGCGAGGACUUGCGUGGAGGAUCCUGCCUACUCUUCUUUUUUCCCUAAUAUUCUUAGCCCUCUGCCAGACCAGAGGCAAAACAUAAGAUCUGACUGUGUGCCUCCCUGCCCCCAGCUGUUUGAAGGGAUAUCCACUAAAACAGCAAUGUUUGGUCCAAGUAAGAAGGGCUUAAGAAGCAAGCUCAGGCACAGCUUCCUUCUUACCUCUGUUCUUUCACAGGUCCUGUUUAUUUAUGGAAACUCAAUAUAUAUACAUAAACUGCCUAGCUCAAGGUAUUACCUUUGAUAUACACAUAUGACCUAAUCUAUCUUUCUGUUGACAAGCUGUGACCUUUGGAAUUGAUCUCUUUUAACACAAAGUGCGUGAAUCUUCUCACAACAUUUUUACUAUGUUUAUCAAGUAUUUGAUAGAAUGAAUUUGUAUUCCCACUGGAGUUAUUAAUAAGAAACUCUGUAAUGAUUU
rnacentral:lncRNA from 7 species